CUGACGAGCACGCCGCGUGAGUGAGAAGGUCUUCGGAUCGUAAAGCUCUGUUGUUAGAGAAGAACAACGCAUAGAGUAACUGUUAUGCGUGUGACGGGAUCUUUCCCGAAAGCCACGGGUAACUACCUGCCCACAGCCCCGGGAAUACCUAAGGGGCGAGCGUUGUCCGGAUUUUUUGGGCGUAAAGGGAGUGUAAGCGGUCUUUUAAGUCUGAUGUGAAAGCCCUGGGCUCUACCCUGGAGGGUCUUUGGAAACUGGGAGACUUGAGUGCAGAAGAGGAGAGCGGAAUUCCAUGUGUAGCGGUGAAAUGCGUAGAUAUAUGGAGGAACACCGGUGGCGAAGGCGGCUCUCUGGUCUGUAACUGACGCUGAGGCUCGAAAGCGUGGGGAGCAAACA
rnacentral:rRNA from 1 species